UACGGAGGGUGCAAGCGUUAAUCGGAAUUACUGGGCGUAAAGCGUGCGCAGGCGGUUUUGUAAGACCGAUGUGAAAUCCCCGGGCUCAACCUGGGAACUGCAUUGGUGACUGCAAGGCUUGAGUGUGUCAGAGGGAGGUGGAAUUCCGCGUGUAGCAGUGAAAUGCGUAGAUAUGCGGAGGAACACCGAUGGCGAAGGCAGCCUCCUGGGAUAACACUGACGCUCAUGCACGAAAGCGUGGGGAGCAAACAGG
rnacentral:rRNA from 1 species